UCGGACGUGGUGUACGGCGCACGCCCACCAUUGGUUGCGUGGUAAUGAUUUAACCUCAUGCGGGAAGACCGGGUUCGAUUCCCGGCGUCCGAA